rnacentral:tRNA from 2 species
UGAACUAUAGUCUAUUCUAAGACGCAUGACUUGCACUCAUGAAAUGUUUAUUUAACUAGUUUAA